AGAACGAACGCUGGCGGCGCGUUUUAAGCAUGCAAGUCGAACGGUAGAGGGGUGCUUGCACCUCUUGAGAGUGGCGAACGGGUGAGUAACGCGUAGAUGAUCUACCUUACGGUUGGGGAUAGCUCAUGGAAACAUGGGGUAAUACCGAAUGAGCUCUUGAGGCUAUGGCUUUGAGAGGAAAGGGGCUUCGGCCUCGCCGAGGGAUGAGUCUGCGUAUGAUUAGCUAGUUGGUGUGGUAAAAGCGCACCAAGGCGACGAUCAUUAGCCGGCCUGAGAGGGUGACCGGCCACAUUGGGACUGAGACACGGCCCAGACUCCUACGGGAGGCAGCAGCUAAGAAUCUUCCGCAAUGGGCGCAAGCCUGACGGAGCGACGCCGCGUGGGUGAAGAAGGCCGAGAGGUUGUAAAGCCCUUUUCUCACAGAAGAAUAAGCUUUUGAGGUAAUGCGAGAGUGAUGACGUUAUGUGAGGAAUAAGCACCGGCCAAUUACGUGCCAGCAGCCGCGGUAACACGUAAGGUGCGAGCGUUGUUCGGAAUUAUUGGGCGUAAAGGGCUCGUAGGUGGCCUGCCAAGUCCCACGUGAAAGACCAGGGCUCAACCCUGGGAGCGCGAGGGAAACUGGCAAGCUGGAAUCUUGGAGGGGGUACUGGAAUUCCUGGUGUAGGGGUGAAAUCUGUUGAUAUCAGGAAGAACACCGGAGGCGAAGGCGAGUACCUGGCCAAAGAUUGACGCUGAUGAGCGAAAGCGUANGGAGCGAACAGGAUUAGAUACCCUGGUAGUCUACGCCGUAAACGAUGUGCACUUGGUGGUGGUCCCGUCCGGGAUCACUGCCGGAGCUAACGCAUUAAGUGCACCGCCUGGGGAGUACGCCGGCAACGGUUAAACUCAAAGGAAUUGACGGGGGCCCGCACAAGCGGUGGA
rnacentral:rRNA from 1 species